UACGGAGGGGGCUAGCGUUAAUCGGAAUUACUGGGCGUAAAGCGUGCGUAGGCGGUUCUCCAAGUCCGUUGUGAAAGCCCCGGGCUCAACCUGGGAAUGGCAGUGGAAACUAGGGGACUGGAAUCUGGCAGAGGGGGGUGGAAUGCCGCGUGUAGCAGUGAAAUGCGUAGAGAUGCGGCGGAACACCGAUGGCGAAGGCAGCCCCCUGGGCUGAGAUUGACGCUCAGGCACGAAAGCGUGGGGAGCAAACAGG
rnacentral:rRNA from 1 species